GAUUUCUGGUAUGAUUGUCCUGGCCUAUUAACGGUUUCGUUAAUAUGUGUUAGGAUUUGAUCUACCAUCCUUUCAAUUGUUACUUUUUCUUCUUUAUUGAAGAAUUAGUAAAUAAAACAAUUGAAUCUUUUACUUUGAAAAAAUUAGAGUGUUUAAAGCAGGCUUUUGCUAUGAAUACAUUAGCAUGGAAUAAUAAUUUAGGACUUUGGUUCUAUUUUGUUGGUUUCUAGAACUCGAGUAAUGAUUGAUAGGGAUAGUUGGGGGUGCUAGUAUUCAGUGGCCAGAGGUGAAAUUCUUGGAUUCACUGAAGACUAACUUAUGCGAAAGCAUU
rnacentral:rRNA from 1 species